rnacentral:rRNA from 1 species
CAGUCGCCGCGGUAAUACGGAGGGUGCAAGCGUUAAUCGGAAUUACUGGGCGUAAAGCGUGCGUAGGCGGUUUGUUAAGUCAGUUGUGAAAUCCCCGGGCUCAACCUGGGAAUGGCAAUGGAUACUGGCAAGCUAGAGUGUGUCAGAGGAUGGUGGAAUUCCCGGUGUAGCGGUGAAAUGCGUAGAGAUCGGGAGGAACAUCAGUGGCGAAGGCGGCCAUCUGGGACAACACUGACGCUGAGGCACGAAAGCGUGGGGAGCAAACAGGAUUAGAUACCCCCGUAGUCCCUGUCUCUUAUAC